GUUGCAUUGCUGUCUAUGCAGGCCUCUCUGAACCAUCGGAUUUCAAUCAAAAAUAUCUUAAUUUGUGUUCCGAAGAUGAGCGAAGGUCUUAUACGAAAUGAGGAAAUGAGGACCAUACCAAUGGAGCGCUGCACAACGUCUUAAAGAAAACAGCACAUCGGGAAUAUUGUGAAAGGCCUGAGGCUCUCCCUGCCGCACACUGUCUGCCAGACGAUUCGUCUCUAUAGGAAAGCAGAGAGAGAGAGAGAUUUGAGAGAUCUGGUCGUGUCAGUCCAUCUGAUCUAAAUGUCACAGGGUUGAUCUUCUGUCCUUGAUGCCACCAGGAUCUGUUACUGAUGUCCCACAUAUGCAACAGAGUGAGAGUUCUAGAACGAGUUUGUUUGAAAAAUAAAGCCAAGAGAUAUUUUUGUUCAGAUACAGUCUGAGCUGGUUCAUAUAAUGUGAAAAUGUGUUUAAUCUUUUUUAUAUCAUUUGAAUGUAUGUGUAAAAUCUAUAGUUAGCUUUUGAUAUAUUUGUCAUCUCUUUGGACGCCUCAAGCAUAGGGUAAAAGAUAGAGUAUACUGCCACCUGCUGGACAAAAAACUUUACUGCAAACCCCUCUUUACUGGAAUUUUGUAGAAUGGGGAUUCACAAAAAUGUUGUCAGUUGUACCCCUGUGAACUA